rnacentral:rRNA from 1 species
AGUGAACGCUGGCGGUAGGCCUAACACAUGCAAGUCGAACGGCAGCACAGUAAGAGCUUGCUCUUACGGGUGGCGAGUGGCGGACGGGUGAGGAAUACAUCGGAAUCUACUUUUUCGUGGGGGAUAACGUAGGGAAACUUACGCUAAUACCGCAUACGACCUACGGGUGAAAGCAGGGGAUCUUCGGACCUUGCGCGAUUGAAUGAGCCGAUGUCGGAUUAGCUAGUUGGCGGGGUAAAGGCCCACCAAGGCGACGAUCCGUAGCUGGUCUGAGUGGAUGAUCGGCCACAUUGGAACGGAGACACGGUCCAGGGUCCUACGGGAGGCAGCAGUGGGGAAUAUGGGACAAUGGGCGCAAGCCUGAUCCAGCCAUACCGCGUGGGUGAAGAAGGCCUUCGGGUUGUAAAGCCCUUUUGUUGGGAAAGAAAAGCAGCAGGUUAAUACCCCGCUGUUCUGACGGUACCCAAAGAAUAAGCACCGGCUAACUUCGUG